GCUCAGGACGAACGCUGGCGGCGUGCCUAAUACAUGCAAGUCGUACGCUUCUUUUUCCACCGGAGCUUGCUCCACCGGAAAAAGAAGAGUGGCGAACGGGUGAGUAACACGUGGGUAACCUGCCCAUCAGAAGGGGAUAACACUUGGAAACAGGUGCUAAUACCGUAUAACAAUCGAAACCGCAUGGUUUUGAUUUGAAAGGCGCUUUCGGGUGUCGCUGAUGGAUGGACCCGCGGUGCAUUAGCUAGUUGGUGAGGUAACGGCUCACCAAGGCCACGAUGCAUAGCCGACCUGAGAGGGUGAUCGGCCACAUUGGGACUGAGACACGGCCCAAACUCCUACGGGAGGCAGCAGUAGGGAAUCUUCGGCAAUGGACGAAAGUCUGACCGAGCAACGCCGCGUGAGUGAAGAAGGUUUUCGGAUCGUAAAACUCUGUUGUUAGAGAAGAACAAGGAUGAGAGUAACUGUUCAUCCCUUGACGGUAUCUAACCAGAAAGCCACGGCUAACUACGUGCCAGCAGCCGCGGUAAUACGUAGGUGGCAAGCGUUGUCCGGAUUUAUUGGGCGUAAAGCGAGCGCAGGCGGUUUCUUAAGUCUGAUGUGAAAGCCCCCGGCUCAACCGGGGAGGGUCAUUGGAAACUGGGAG
rnacentral:rRNA from 1 species